UUUCCGUAGGUGAACCUGCGGAAGGAUCAUUAUCGAAAUACUUAUUUAGCGUUCCGUGCUAUCCCAUUGUUUUAUUUACCCUGUUGCUUCCACUGGAUGAGUUUCCAUACCUUGAGUUUGAGAAACUUUGGCUUGUGUAAGAUUCAUUCACGGCCAGCCAGUGAGAAGACCAUUUACAAAACCCUGUCAAGAACCAAUUGUCUGAAUAUUUUACUCCAAUGAAAUAAAACUUUCAACAACGGAUCUCUAGGCUCUUGCAUCAUGAAGAACGCAGC
rnacentral:misc_RNA from 1 species